rnacentral:tRNA from 1 species
UUUUAUAUAGUUUAAUAAAACAUUUUAUUUUCAUUAAAAAAAUGACUAUAACUUAGUCUGUAAAUA